rnacentral:rRNA from 1 species
UACGAAGGGGGCGAGCGUUGUUCGGAAUUACUGGGCGUAAAGGGUGCGUAGGCGGGUUUUUAAGUCAGAGGUGAAAUCCUGGAGCUCAACUCCAGAACUGCCUUUGAUACUGAAAGUCUUGAGUAUGGGAGAGGUGAGUGGAACUGCGAGUGUAGAGGUGAAAUUCGUAGAUAUUCGCAAGAACACCAGUGGCGAAGGCGGCUCACUGGCCCAUUACUGACGCUGAGGCACGAAAGCGUGGGGAGCAAACAGG